rnacentral:rRNA from 1 species
GAUGAACGCUGGCGGCGUGCCUAAUACAUGCAAGUCGAGCGAACGGACGAGAAGCUUGCUUCUCUGAUGUUAGCGGCGGACGGGUGAGUAACACGUGGAUAACCUACCUAUAAGACUGGGAUAACUUCGGGAAACCGGAGCUAAUACCGGAUAAUAUUUUGAACCGCAUGGUUCAAAAGUGAAAGACGGUCUUGCUGUCACUUAUAGAUGGAUCCGCGCUGCAUUAGCUAGUUGGUAAGGUAACGGCUUACCAAGGCAACGAUGCAUAGCCGACCUGAGAGGACGAUCAGCCACACUGGGACUGAGACACGGACCAGACUCCGACGGGAGGCAGCAGUGGGGAAUUUUGGACAAUGGGGGCAAUCCUGAUCAAGCAAUGCAGCGUGAGGGAAGAAGGCCUUCGGGUUGUAAACCGCUUUUGUUAGGGAAGAAAACCUAUGGGCUAAUAACCCGGGGGGAUGACGGUACCGGAAGAAUAAGCACCGGCUAACUACGUG